ACUGGCAAGUCGAGCGAUGAAGCUUCCUUCUGGAAGUGGAUUAGCGGCGGACGGGUGAGUAACACAUGGGUAACCUGCCUAAAAGUGGGGGAUAGCCUUCCAAAAGGAACAUUAAUUCCGCCUAAUAUAAUGAGAAUCACACUGAUUUUCUUAUCAAAGAUUUAUUGCUUUGAUAUGGACCCGCGGCGCAUUAGCUACGUUGGUAAGGUAAUGGCUUACCAAGGCAUCACAUGCGUAGCCAACCUGAGAGGGUGAUCGGCCACAUUGGAACUGACACACGGCUCCAGACUCCUACAGGAGGCAUACAGUGGGGAAUAUUGCGCAAUGGGGGAAACCGUGACACAGCAACGCCGCGUGGCUGAUGAAGGUCUUCGAAUUGUUAAGCCCUGUUUUCUGGUACGAUAAUGACAGAACCAGAGGAGGAAGCCACGUCUAACUACGUGCCAGCCCCCGGGGUAAUACCUAGGUUGCCAGCGUUGCCCGGAUUUACUGGGCGCAAAGGGUGCGUACGCGGUUGUUUAAUUGGGAUGUGAAAUCCCCGGGCUUAACCUGGGGGCUGCWUUCCAAACUGSAUAUCUAKAGUGCAKGAGAGGAAAGCGGAAUUCCUAGUGUWKCGGUKAAAUGCRUARAGAUUAGGAAGAACACCAGUGGCGAAGGCGGCUUUMUGGACUGUAACUSACGMUGAGGCAMGAAAGCGUGGKUAGCAAACAGGAUUASAUACCYUGGUAGUCCACKCCGUAAWCVAUGGAUACUAGGUGURGGGGGUAUCAACUCMCCCUGUGMSGCAKUUMACWCAAUAAGUAUCCYGCCURGGGAGUACGGUCGCAAGAUUAWAACUCAAAGGAAUUGRCGGGSGCCCGCACAAKCAACGGAGCAUGUGGUUUAAUUCGAAGCAACACGAAGAACCUUACUUGGACUUGACAUCCCUUGCAUAGCCUAGAGAUAGGUGAAGCCCUUCGGGGCAAGUAGCCAGGUGGUGCAUGGUGGUGGUCAGCUCGUGUCGUAAGAUGUUAGGUUAAGUCCUGCAACGAGCGCAACCCUUGUUAUUAGUUGCUACCAUUAAGUUGAGCACUUUAAUGAGACUGCGUGGGUAACCAGGAGGAAGGUGGGGAUGACGUCAAAUCAUCAUGCCCCUUAUGUUCAGGGCUACACACGUGCUACAAUGGUAGGUACAAUAAGAAGCAAGACCGUGAGGUGGAGCAAAACUUAUAAAACCUAUCUCAGUUCGGAUUGUAGGCUGCAACUCGCCUACAUGAAGCUGGAGUUGCUAGUAAUCGUGAAUCAGCAUGUCGCGGUGAAUACGUUCCCGGGCCUUGUACACACCGCCCGUCACACCAUGAGAGUUGUGUAACACCCGAAGUCCCGUGAGGUAACCGUAAGGAGCCAGCGCGUCCGAAGGUGGGGAUUAGUGAUUGGGGGAAAG
rnacentral:rRNA from 1 species